rnacentral:rRNA from 1 species
UACGUAGGGUGCAAGCGUUGUCCGGAAUUAUUGGGCGUAAAGAGCUCGUAGGCGGUCUGUCGCGUCUGCUGUGAAAACUCAGGGCUUAACCCUGAGCUUGCAGUGGGUACGGGCAGACUAGAGUGCGGUAGGGGAGACUGGAAUUCCUGGUGUAGCGGUGAAAUGCGCAGAUAUCAGGAGGAACACCGAUGGCGAAGGCAGGUCUCUGGGCCACUACUGACGCUGAGAAGCGAAAGCAUGGGGAGCGAACAGG